GAAGGCAGCAUGCUGGGCACAAACUGACGCUUAAAGGGACGAAAGCGUUGGGUAGCGAACAGGAUUAGAUACCGUGGUAGUCCACGCCGUAAACGAUUGAUAACUCGCUGUCGGAGGUUCGACCCCUUCGGUGGCUAAGCUAACGCGAUAAGUUAUCCGCCUGGGUAGUACGGGUCGCAAGAUUUAAAACUCAAAGGAAUAGACGGGGACCCACACAAGCGGUGGAGCAUCUUGUUUUAACUCGAUAAUAAGCGGGAAACCUCACCAGGGACUUGGACAUCCCGAGAAGAUCGCAAGAAAUGUGAUUGUGCCUUUAGGAACUCGGGUGACAGGUGCUGCAUGGUUGUCGUCAGCUCGUGCCUUGAGGUGUUCGGUUAAGUCCGUAAACGAGCGCAACCCAUGUCCAUAGUUGUAUGUUUCUAUGGAGACUGCCGGCUCUAAGUCGGAGGGAAGGUAUGGAUGACGUCAAAUCAGCAAUGGCCAUAAUGUCCUGGGCUAAAAAGUGCUACAAUGGGACGAUACAAAAGGCAGCCAAGGAGUAAUCCGGAGCCAAUCCUAAAG
rnacentral:rRNA from 1 species